AAGUAUAUAGGAGUUGUAGAAGUUAAUUAAGAUGUCAUCGCUGUGAUAGUUGUGAGCUGGGGUAAGCUUGGUGCUACCUCUUUUCUUUUGUUUGGUAUUUUCUUUGAAUAAGAGGAUUGAGAGUUUUUGAAUAUUGUGAAGUGAAUUAUGGAAUGGAAAUAAGAUUGGUAUUAUUUGAAAAAAAGAAAGAUUGAAUGCUGAAAUCUGAUUGUAGUUCAACAGAGAGAAUGAGUCUGUGUUUGUGUGAAAUACCGUAAUGUGAAAGGCAGUUUUGUGUGAAGAAUUCCAAUGAUUGGAAUGAGGGUAAUUGUGAGCUGAAAGCUAUGAUGGCACAGUAUUAUAGUUGGAGAUUAUGAGGGUGAAUAUAUUGGUGGAAAUAAUAGUUAUUGGUAUGACUGAAUUGUUGUAAAGAAGAGAUCGAUAAGAUGAAGGAAGAGAUUAUAGUUUCCUUGUGUGUUCAAAUAUUGGAAAUAGAGAUGAUACAUUCAGGAGGUAAUUGAUUGUGUGACCCUAACAUGAACGCUUAAGCAACUAGUCAUUCUUCGUGUUUGAAUCCUCCUAUACGGAUUUAUUAUCAUUAGAUUAAUUUGGAAUAAAUAAAACGAGCAAUCACAGUAAUCAAUACACAUCUACAAUGAUCCAUCUUACUUCUUUACAAAUAAGAUUGGAGCUCUUGCUAGUGAUUUGGAAUGGCAUAUGAAAUUCUUGGCCAGAUUCUCUUCAAUAUAUUCCUUGAGUUCACCCAAUUUAUUUUUUGAUAAAUUAUAGAUUGGUCCAAAUGGCAGUAAUACUCCUUCUUGAAGAUCAAUUGAGCAGUCA
rnacentral:lncRNA from 1 species